AGUGAACGCUGGCGGUAGGCCUAACACAUGCAAGUCGAACGGCAGCACAGGAGAGCUUGCUCUCUGGGUGGCGAGUGGCGGACGGGUGAGGAAUACAUCGGAAUCUACUUGUUCGUGGGGGAUAACGUAGGGAAACUUACGCUAAUACCGCAUACGACCUACGGGUGAAAGCAGGGGAUCUUCGGACCUUGCGCGAUUGAAUGAGCCGAUGUCGGAUUAGCUAGUUGGCGGGGUAAAGGCCCACCAAGGCGACGAUCCGUAGCUGGACUGAGAGGAUGAUAAGCCACACUGGAACUGAGACACGGUCCAGACUCCUACGGGAGGCAGCAGUGGGGAAUAUUGGACAAUGGGCGCAAGCCUGAUCCAGCCAUACCGCGUGGGUGAAGAAGGCCUUCGGGUUGUAAAGCCCUUUUGUUGGGAAAGAAAUCCAGCUGGCUAAUACCCGGUUGGGAUGACGGUACCCAAAGAAUAAGCACCGGCUAACUUCGUGCCAGCCGCCGCAGUAA
rnacentral:rRNA from 1 species